UACGGAGGGUGCAAGCGUUGUCCGGAUUCACUGGGUUUAAAGGGUGCGUAGGCGGGCAGGUAAGUCAGUGGUGAAAUCUCAGAGCUUAACUCUGAAACUGCCAUUGAUACUAUCUGUCUUGAAUGUUCUGGAGGUGAGCGGAAUAUGUCAUGUAGCGGUGAAAUGCUUAGAUAUGACAUAGAACACCAAUUGCGUAGGCAGCUCACUACGGAAAUAUUGACGCUGAGGCACGAAAGCGUGAGGAUCAAAACAGG
rnacentral:rRNA from 1 species